AGAUGUGAGGGCAAUCUCGCCGCGACAUCUGUCACCCCAUUGAUUGCCAGGUUUGAUUUGGCUGAUCUGGCUGUCUAGGCAGGCAUUGCCUUCUGCCCUCCCUGUUCCAUAUGCAUUCCUCCUGAAGCUGUGUGCUUGUUGAAGAGGACAACUUUCCCUGUUAGAGGAGAACAGGUCUUCAGUCAAAGGUGGAUGAAUAGCUGUGCUCCCCUGCUAGAAUCUCCAAACAAGCACUCAAGAAAAUGUGGUAUAUACACACAACAGAAUACUACCCAGGCGUAGAAAAUAAUGAAAUCCUGUCUUU
rnacentral:snRNA from 1 species